AUACCGCCGACAGCGAACUAACAACCAAAACGAUGGUGUUUAGUUUGCCUUUGUAGCCAUCUCUGGUUAGUCUUUGCUUAAGUAUAAGUAUAUAUACUCUUUUGAUCCCGUG